CGGAACGUGCCCAGUAGCGGGGGAUAACUACGCGAAAGCGUAGCUAAUACCGCAUACGUCCUAUGGGAGAAAGCGGGGGACCUUCGGGCCUCGCACUAUUGGAGCGGCCGAUAUCGGAUUAGCUAGUUGGUGGGGUAAAGGCUCACCAAGGCGACGAUCCGUAGCUGGUUUGAGAGGACGACCAGCCACACUGGGACUGAGACACGGCCCAGACUCCUACGGGAGGCAGCAGUGGGGAAUUUUGGACAAUGGGGGCAACCCUGAUCCAGCCAUCCCGCGUGUGCGAUGAAGGCCUUCGGGUUGUAAAGCACUUUUGGCAGGAAAGAAACGGUUCCGGAUAAUACCUGGAGCAACUGACGGUACCUGCAGAAUAAGCACCGGCUAACUACGUGCCAGCAGCCGCGGUAAUACGUAGGGUGCAAGCGUUAAUCGGAAUUACUGGGCGUAAAGCGUGCGCAGGCGGUUCGGAAAGAAAGAUGUGAAAUCCCAGAGCUUAACUUUGGAACUGCAUUUUUAACUACCGAGCUAGAGUGUGUCAGAGGGGGGUGGAAUUCCGCGU
rnacentral:rRNA from 1 species